CUUUGUGGGAAUGGGUAUAAGGUGGUUGGGGGAAACCAUUGGGAUAGUGCUUCUCAAUCAAGGGUGUUUUGCAUGGAUGUGUGUUUGUACAUCAUGUAGGUGCAAGUGCCCAAAAAAGGCUAUAAAAUGGCGUUGAUCUCCAGGGACUGGGGAUUUGGAUACUAGACUGAAUCAAAACCGUUAUCUUCUUCCUGAUUAUGGAUGCUAAGUGGCCAGCUAUUUCAAGAUUCUGUCUCCUUAACUUCUUCAAAAUGAUGGAGUGUACCUCAAAAUGUGAGACAAAUAGAUUCUUCCUUAAAUUACCUUUGCUAAGUAUUCUGUUUUAGCAACAUUAAGAUAAUUAAUAGAAGAGAGAAGUAUUUUGAAGUUAGAAGAAAUAAGUCCUUCCUAUUAAGUAGGAAUUAAGCACCUUAAAAAUGCUCAGUCCAUUUGUAUGCCUGCAAAGUUGCUCAGAGAAGGAGAUUAGAAGAGCAUUCACCUAUGCUCAGGAACCAGUGAAUGGAUUUCAAUUCCCACAUCCCACCAUCUGCAAGAGUAUACAAGAACUAAUAAUACUAAGGAUGAGAAUUAGCAAACACAUUUAAUAAAUAAACCUGAAGUGCUAGUCAAAGGCCCAACUUUAAAACUAAAAUAAAAGCUUAAAGGGUUAACAAAAGCCUCUUCAAAGGAAUCUCUUAUUGACAAUAAAAGACAGUUAAAAUUCUCUAUUCAAAUGUCAAUUGUUGCCAACAACACAGGCUCCUCAAACAAAAGAUUUUCUUUUAGCAGAGCCAACUCCACUCUAUCUGCCAAAAGCCCAUAGAAUGGCCACUUUCCAUUUGGUGACUGUUCCACAAUGAAAUUAGAACUGUUGAAAAAAUAAUGGAAAUCUACAGGCACAUAUGUACUCUGGAUGAAAUAGAAAUAUUUUAGAGAUAUUGUUAUAAAUCUCUUAAGUGCCAAUGUUAAGUUUUUUUUAGAUCAGGGAAUCUUUGAGUCUCUCUUUUGUUUGUCAUCUGUUAUUACUGCACUUGAAUUAUAGAAAAUGAUGGAUUAAAUGUGGCAUUCUCAUAUAUUUGUAUAACGUAGUUGAAUUAUUCUUACCUGAGUUUUCCACCUACGUUCUUUCCCUGGCAUUUCUGAACUUUACUUAUUACAGUUCAGGCAAUUUCCUACCUCCUUUUAGAAAUAAAGUCAUUCCAUAAAGAUAGGAGUCCCUACACUUUCCAAACAGGGAUAUUAAAUAGUAUCUGGUGAGUUUUAUAACCCCUCUGCAACAUCGAAUGGAAGUGUAGGCCCCUAUCCCAGAAAAAGCAAUGAAAAAUCUUUUGCUCAUCGGAUUUUGGAAGAGGAGAUUUUAUUCACUUUUAAACAGUGUAUUAGGCAUUUCUGAAAAGGAAGGCCUGUUUUAAGUCCAAUACAUAACUUUAAUUUCCCAUAGGUUCAUUUACUCAACUCUGCAUUUCUGACAUUUUUAUCUUUGAAGAACUAAAUGAAUUUCUCAUAUAAUUUUCUACUGCUCUAUAAGCAGGCCACAAAGGAGAUAUCUCAGUAAAAUGUGGUCUGCUUUUCUAGAGUACUAGGAAAGAAUGAAUUUCAUGUGUCUGUAUGUACAUAGGUGUGUAUAGCAUGCAUAUAGAUGUACAUAUAGAAUAAUUUCAGCUAACACAAUGCUAAUUUUUAUUUUUGAGUUUUUGAGACAGAGUAUUUCUACAUAGCUCUGCUUGUCCUGGAACUCACUAGGCAAAUUAAGCUGCCCUCAAACUCACAAGAGAUUGCCCUGCCUCUGCUUUUCCAAGUGGUGUACCACCAUACCCUGAUCAAAUGUUAAUUUUUGAAAUGUGAUCCACUGGUUUAUGUUUUUCUUUUCUUUAUAUCCCUUUAGAACUUAAAGGUGAUGCCCACAAUUCUUUUUUUGUGCUUAAUGAGAUUUUAAUUUUAUCAAAUUAUCUUAAUCAAAGUAAAAUGCUGUCCAAUCAUGGAAAAAAAGCCUCCAAGGCCUAGAGAAUAAGAACCAUCAGAUAUAUGAGAGAUGGAAAAGUAACUAUGGUGGUUCUAGGUAAGAAGUUUUCUGUGUUGAUAUUCAGGCAAACCACACAUUGGGAUCCCUGGAUGGGUGCUGUUGAGAGCACACUGGAUGGGAAAGAGGCU
rnacentral:lncRNA from 1 species